GGCUGCAUAGUGUAGUGGUUGUAAGUUUGAUCCCACUCUCAGUGAAUAGUUCCGCACUAACGAAAAGCACAGAGCACAUCAGAUUCUGAUAAUAUAUAUUGUGUAUUAUUCUGGGGACACAGGUUCGAACCCUGUUGCGGCCU